ensembl:lncRNA
UAUCAGUGAGUGGGCUGUAAGUCAAAUUAGCUCUUCGUCAUCCUGCUCGCUGUGCACACCGGAGGCUACUGCGGUAAGAUGCGGCGGCGCACGAUGCCGAGCCGCGGCGGAUGAGAUGAUGCGCAAUGGCUGAACGAGUCGGGAGGAGAGAGAGAAAAAAAAGAGGCUGUGGUCUGAUUUAAACGAUGGGACAGGACUGAAUGGAUGUUCGAGCGAUUUGUAACGUUUGUGGUGCAGGCCGAGUAGAAAGAUGAGGCGGCGCUGAUUCCACUUUAGGAUGCUCCAGAGCCCGAGAGGAGGGAGAAUAGGCUUCGUCUGUAAACAAUAAGGAAGCAGAGGGGCAUUAAGUAAAGGACACUUAAUCCAGAGCCUGGACCUGAGACCCCGGGGCUUCGAAAAAGGUUGCUCUGUGACAGCUGAGUCAGUCCUCUGUGAGGAGAGGCCAGUGAACGGGGAGGGCGGCGAAGCUCUGGAGACAGCGUCACUGAGCGUCAGCCUGGAAGAAAACAAACUUCUCAUUUCCCUUGCUCUCAUCAGCACUGACAGCUGGACAUCACACCUGCAUGUUUCUCUUCUUCGUCAGGAGACUGUCUAAGUUGAGGAGUGAUAGGUGCAAACAAUCGCAGGUCGCCCGUCAGAAAAACAGCUGAUUCUGUCUUCAGAUGCAGUCAGAAUGAUUUGCUAAGAUAUGAGAUUACAAGGAGAUUCAUCUCCCUCCGGCCAUGUUAGGAAAACAUCGUCUUCGGUACCACUGUCAGAAUUAAUCAGUAAGAAAUUUGUUUCAGCUGUUUCAUAGUGCCCAGUGAUUUUUUUUUAGUUUUUUUUUCUAAAUGAUGAUCUUUUUACCUUUGAGCUGUCAGGCUGUGAAUCAAGAAUAGAUUCUUGAUUGUGGCAGUGCUCCCUCUCACAAAUGAGAAUUCAACUUGAGCUGACAGGCUGCAUUUUAAUAAAGGAUAAGUAAAAACCAACCAAUAAAACAUAGAUGAGGCCCACAACAAGCACUAUGCUCCAGCAGAAUAACAACAACAACUACCCGUGCCUGAGCAUGUCAGGCUCUAGCCGGGAGAUGCUCCAGAAAUGCUCCAGAGCCUCUCUGCCCUUCCCCAGCCGACUGGAGCUGGGACUGGCAGAUCUGCCGCUCAUUCGGGGUCUCCGAGCCUGGGCCCUGUGUUCCAGGAAUCGCCACAAGACUGCUAAUCUGCUGGGAGGAGGACAAGCACCCACAGCUCCUCCUGCAGGUCGAGGAGGUUCAGCAUCAUGCCCCAGGCCUGCAGAUGUUUGCCUGAGUGGCGAGUGGGGUCGCAUGGGAUAUGGGCUUCCGCUGGGGGUGGACAGUAGGCAGGCUGGAAUCGGAGCUUUGGUAACAGUUGCCACUCUGAAGACCUCAGAGGGCAGCGGGAAGACUCAGACUCAGUGUCUGUUCCUCCGGACUGAGAAAGGAAGCUGUUUGUAUUCAGCAGCUAAGCCCAACUCUGGAGUGACAACCAGUGCAGCCUCCAGUGUGGUUGGAGGAUGGCUGCGAGGAAAGACUGGAGUAGGAGGAGGACGCAGAGACACUCCAGCUGGGCCAACUCCACCGGCACAGACUGGAGCAAACCGGGUUAGGGUGCGAUCAGGGAGGAGAUGGAGGAAGUCUGGCAAUGCAGCGGGCCGGGAGAAAACAGGCGUGAGCAGAGAGAGGCAGCAGAGGAGCAGGGAAGUUCCUGCUGGUGAAAUCGCUGUGGAAGAAAGGCAGGAAGAGCAAGACAAAGGAGGCCUGGACUGUAAACAGUUUCCCACCCCACAGCAGGACAGCCGGCGAGCCAGAUGCAGCCACAGCGUUUCUCCUAAAUCCUGCGUCCAAUGUGGAAGGAGAGCACAGAGGAGGAAAAGCCAGGAUGGACACGAGGGAGGCAUCCCGAACAGGCUGAACAGUGAGGUGACGGGAAUGAGGAAGGAAAGGCAAAAGAAUGAAGAGGAGGAUAAGGGAGGCCUCGGCAAGUUAGAGUCUUCCAGCUCUGUUUUGACUGAACUAAACCCUGACCUAGAAUCUACCCGUUCUUACAGCGACUCCCACGACAGCUGCGAUGUGGGAGAAACAAGAGAAACUGAGAGCAGCGAGGGGCAGAAGACACAAGCUUCUCAGAGCAAGGACGGCUAUUCAGAGGAACAAGAAGACAGAUACACUGAAGGAAACAACGUCACCCAUGGACAUUCUGGGUUGAUUGAUAAUUCAAGACAUAAGAACAGCAUUACUGAGAGAAAACCAAGUAAAUGCCCCUGUGAAGAAGAAGGGGCUAAUGUAAACGGAUUUUCUGAUCUCGAUGAAGCAGGUGAAGAAUCAGAGAAAAGGGCUGAGUGUGCAGAUGUUAAAGAUGAAAAGGAGAACAUCAGCGAGGCUCUUGAUGAAUUUUCCAGCUGGUGUGCAGUCUUUACGCCUGCCUCCAGCAGCACUGGAGUCUCCCUCAGUUUUAACAAGUCAGCCGCACCCAUAGAGGGCAGCGUCUGCAGUGCUGACCAUGAAACUUGUUGGGUUCAGGCUGAGCAGGAGCAGGAGAAUCACGUUGAGGGGUAUCAGCAAGAGGAAAAAGACUCUGGGGUCACGGGUGAAGAAGAACAGGCCAAUGAAAAAACCACUGUGAAUGAGAUAUUAAAUAAUAAACCUCAAUCUGUGUUUAAAAAUGAGGAGGAAGUGUUACCUUCAUCCCUCACAGAUGGAGAUCAUUCCAUCUCUGAGUCAGGCGAGAGGAUUGUGGCAGACAGCAGCAGCAAAUGUGGGACGAAAGAUGAGCUGGAGUCGGAAGAAGGAAAUUUAGAAGAGAGCCUCAAUCCUGAACAUGGAGACGAAGCUGGGGAUAUUUGGAAGUCGGAUGAAUGUAAAGAACUCACACUCAAAGAUAAUUAUGAAGGGACAGCGAUAAACUGUGCUUCAGAGGAAGACUGGCGGUUACAGGAGGUCGAAGAUGAACGCAGGAAGUGGGAGAAAGAGGAUGGAUACACCUGUGCACAAACAAGCAUCGCCCCUGUUGAACCAAGUGGAGAGACUAACAUCACUAACACUGCCUGCACCAAUCUCCCCACCUCCCCUGCGCUCUCCCAGGCUAAUCCUGCCCCUUCCCUGCCCACCCUGGGAUCCAUGGCAACCGGCCUGCCCUGUCAGGAGGAGGAGGAGGCAGUCAGUGCAACAGCAGGAGACAGAGAAGGAGGCCAAGAAGGGAAGAGAAGAGAGCUGGAGGAGCAGGGUGAGGUGGAGAGUGGCUCCACCGUGGCCACUGACGAAGGGAGGAAGGAGGAGGAGGAAGAUGAGUUUGGAGUGUUCAUGCAGGCGGAGGGAGAGCCAGCCUGGAGCGAGGAGUUCACCAUGUCUGCCUCAGUGCCUUGUGGGAGCAGAGAGAGUGUUGCACUUGGAAAGCAUGCUAUCACCAGUGAGUCGACCCUCUGGACGCCAGGCAAGACGGACAGCUCGUUCCACCAGUCAGACGACACCUGGACAGCCUUCCCUCAGGAUUCAUCAGAUGAAGGUGGAGACGUUGUGGAGCAGUGGUGGCCAGCCAGUGCUGUGGAGGAGAGGAGAGACAGACUCUCAGCCAAUCAGAACCUGGCGGCUGUCUUUGCUGAAGUCUUCCCCUCAUUUACUGGUUCAUCCUCAAGUGACUCCUGUGACCUCAGUACUGUUCCCACACUGAGCCAGCUCCUCAGAGGCGGAGCAAGCCAAGACCAGGGGCUGUUGGACAGUUUCCACGACUUAAACAAAAUGAUCGGCCAGAGAUACAAGAGAGCCAACGGCGUGUCUCGUAACCUGCUGCUGAAGACUUUACACCUGGAGCAGCCGCACACUGAAAGCAGACCUGCUUCCUGGACAGCAAACUGCCGCCUCUCCCCUGGCCUCCCCUCAGCCAAUCAGCAUGCUCAAAAUGCCGCUGCCAAGCGACGGCUGUCCUAUGACUACAACAGGAACAUCAUGGAGUAACUCUGUGGACCUCAGCUCUGGUUUGGCUGUCAGCAUUCACAAUGAAGGACUGCAGGUUUUAACAGGUUUCUCGAGGAUCCGGAUUCACAGCAUAUUAAACUAAGCACUCAUCGACCUGCUGACUCUUUGCACACUUCCUGGUUAUUUAAGCCUGAGACAGUGAGGAGAGCCGGUGUCUCCUCCAGCACCUGCUGAUGUAUACUGGGGGAGUGGUUUUUUUUAUAUCACGUGUUCAUCACCUUGUUCACUAUCACCACUACCACCCAUUAAGUAUCAACCUUACCUACUGAGAUUCUUUGGAGCAUUGUGACCUGUUACAAGGUACACGCCACCACCUUAAAGGCACUCUAAUUUUUUCCUCCUCUAACAGAAAUAGAUCUGAAGCACCACUGCUUUUUGUCUCAAGGGUAGAAUAAAUAUAAAGCAUAUAAUACUCACAUGGGGUGAACUUAAAUAAUAAAAAUAAACGUUUCUCCCACUGAAAUCACUACGUCCAGAUGAACAGAAUCAACCUUUUGUGGUAUAUAAGACAUCAUUUUACAUACAUUGGCGGCCCUGUCAGUCAUGAUUUUUGACAUGCCGGUUGUUUAGCGUACGUCUGCUGUCUCUUUAAAAGUUUGUGGUUUGUUUUUGUCGUGCAGAAAUGGAAGAGUGUAACUGGGGCAAAAAGUUUCUACCUCCAGUGUUGCUGAUCUAACAGACAAAUAAAAUUAUGUUGCACUACACUACAGUUUAAAUUUGAAAUAGAUUUUUUUAUUAAGUAGGAAAAUCCUAGUUCUGAAAAACUGGUAUUCUUCAUAUACUAUAUGCUGUGUACUGUAAGCAUAUUCAUACAAUAUGUCAGUUAGGCUGAAAGGGGAAGAACAUCUGGGGUUAUUGGUUAAGUUUCUAACCAUGAAGACACAGCUUUACUUCACACAGGGGGCCUUUAAGGCUUCUCCUUAUUUCCUGCCAUGUAUAUACUCUCACAGUGAUGGAUGCUCAUGUUGAACAUGGCCAAAGGUUCAAAUAUUGAGCCAUGUAUAUAUAAAAGUAAUUCCUGUGAGCUUAAUAUCCUGCAUAUCAUUUCAGUCACACAGGUGUGGCUGUGAGCACUAAAGCCCCACCUGCCUGUGUUCAAACCAAUCAGGUGAGGCUCUAAUACAGCUUCUUUCAGACGGAGUAUGAGCUGGGGGGCUGCAUCAAUGACCAGUGUGAAUUUUGAAUGAGCAGAACAGGUACAAGACAAACUGUGUCAACGUAGCAUUUUAAAUUACCCAAGCAUCUUUUUCCAAUCUGUGCUUUUCAGUUAUUUCAAAUUGGACUAACAAGCCAUUGUGAUGGAGGCAUACAUGUCUGUAUUAUUGAGUGCCAAGUCAGGUAAAUGGGAACUAUCAGAAAACUAGAUUUGUAGUUAUAUUUCCAGCCACGUUUUAUGAAAGUAGCAUAAAGUUCCAGUCUUCCUCCCGGAAAAGAUCUCUGGGUUUAAUUACAGAAGAAGACUCGAUGACAUGAUGCUUGUUUUUGUUCUGUAGCUCCAUUAAUGUGGUGGCUUGACCCUUUGUAACAGCUUCACUCCUCUUCAGUUUUCCUGUCUGUAGCAGAAACCUCUACAGAUGUCACCAUCGCCUGGAUUCAUGCACAUGUUCAGUAGAAGUAACAGAAAAACCUUUUGUCUAGUCGUGUCAUCACACAGAAGAUCAGAGUCAAGCGUUAUUUUUUUUCCAAAACGUAGAGCAGAUAUAAUAAUGAGUACUAAAGAAAGAUCAAGAUUGUUUUUGUUUUAAUUUUGUUUACAUUUGACAUUUUGAUGCAUGUGCUUUCAUUGUGUAUUUGCUACUGAAAAGCCAGUGACAGGAACAGGUCUCAACUUUGUUCUGGUUCCUCAGAGAAACAAGUUUGUCUUCCAGUUAGUGCCAACAGGAACACCAGAGAAAGUGCCAAUGUUUACGAGGUUACGGAAGUGAUUUCAGGAGGAAAUGUUUGUCUUGUUUCUCAAACACACUGAAGUGGACUCAAACAAAAGCAUGUGAUGUUCCACCUUUUUCUUUCUUUCUUUGUCUUUCUGUCUCGCUUCUUGUCUGCCGAAUGUCUCAGUACAUUCGUUUUAGUUCAGCGCUGUUCUGUAGUCGAGUCCACUUCAUGGGCAAAACUUGAAUUUAGCUGCCGGUCAAAAUGAUAUUUUAUGAGAAUAUUGUUCACAUUAUGUCGAUCAUGCACCGCGUUUCUAAUUUGUGGCACCUCAGAAAACUUUAAGUCGCUCUGUUGUGUAUUUCAAUUGUUAACUCUGUUAAUCUGUGAUGAAAUUCAGAAUCAGUCGUGUGUGUGUGUGUGUGUGUGUGUGUGUGUGUGUGUGUGUGUGUGUGUGCCAUUUAUACAACAUUCAAAUUCUUGAAAAAAUGGAUAUUUUCUGUUACAAUGAGGAGGAUCCAGCUGUCGCCUUGUUGACUGAUGUAAUAAAAUGAUACUGCGUGUUGGCUAAUGCUUCCUCCUGACAUGCAGAAUUAUGUGACCUGUUGAUUUCAUGAAGAGGGAACCACUGGCUGACUAGUAACUCAGAUAAAAUCAUCACAUGGUCUGCUCUUCUGGGCCAUGUUUGAACAUUUUGAAAUCCACUCACUCGUCCUUUGUAAAUAUUACGAAACGAACAAAUAUUUCCCAGACAGACCGAGAAGAAGUCAGACCUGACAUAAUUCAGCUGACGUUUCAUGGAGUCAAUGAGGGUUUUUCAUGAGCUUGUCAUGAAAAACAUUCAAACCCAUCCAUCUUUUUUCCUAACCGCUUAUCAGAUUGAAGGUUACCAGCUGUCAGUGGGUGAUGACCGAUCCUCAGUUUUCUGGAAUCAGACCAAACAAUUAAUGAACAUAAAUAUGUUUUAGGUUUACUCUUUGCCAAAAUUGCUGCACAUUAUUCUAAUUAAUAUAUUAACAUAUAUCUACUUUAUUGCUCUAUGGAUUAGCGUGGGGCUUUGUUCAUAAGUCCAUAACUUUGGUCCAUGUUUACUAUGCUUAUACAGGAAAUGUAUAGAUCCAGAAAAUGUGUCUCGUCUUUGUGAAAGCCAUUGAUAUAAUUUAUCAACACAACGAAACCUGAAGAUGAUUUGAUCCGAAUGUUUCUCGAGAAUAGAAACUGUUGUGCCCCUGACAAAUAGAAGCUGUAAACUAAACUGAAACAAGAAAGUUCACUCCCAAAAUAAUUUUUUUAACUGUGAAACCAAAAUAGAAACAAAUUUUUCUGCUUUGGUUAAAAACUGACCAAACAUUUAAUAGACUGUCAUUUUCACACUUGCACUUGAGGAAGUUUGAGGAGAAUAAGGUCACGAUAUUUUCCGCAAUCAUCCUGUUUCACAUUUAGCUUCAAACAUGUCUCCACCUCUGGUGAUACUCCACAUGGUUCAAGGCAAAGGAGCUGCACCGAUAGGGGGCAUGACACACAUCUCCUCUCACUAGCUGUAAAUAUUUACUGCGCUGUCCUCACAGUUUCAUAAUCUGUGGUAUUUUGGGAACUGCAGAGUUAAACACUGUGUGAUGGUCACCACUGUUGGGCGGUGUUGAGAACAGUUCAGAGCUGCAGGGCAUGUGUGAAGGACUCAUGAUAAUGUCCCCACUGUUAUUCUGGCACCAUUUAACGUUGGCAUUUUGGCUUUUAAUGACAUCUAUUUAACUGAUUUUCAUUAAAUAUUUGUGGCACA